AUUGAACGCUGGCGGCAUGCCUUACACAAGCAGUCGAACGGCAGCACGGGAGCAAUCCUGGUGGCGAGUGGCGAACGGGUGAGUAAAGUAUCGGAACGUGCCCAGUCGUGGGGGAUAACGUAGCGAAAGUUACGCUAAUACCGCAUACGAUCUAUGGAUGAAAGCGGGGGAUCGCAAGACCUCGCGCGAUUGGAGCGGCCGAUAGCAGAUUAGGUAGUUGGUGGGGUAAAGGCUCACCAAGCCGACGAUCUGUAGCUGGUCUGAGAGGACGACCAGCCACACUGGGACUGAGACACGGCCCAGACUCCUACGGGAGGCAGCAGUGGGGAAUUUUGGACAAUGGGCGAAAGCCUGAUCCAGCCAUGCCGCGUGCAGGAUGAAGGCCUUCGGGUUAUAAACUGCUUUUGUACGGAACGAAAAGGUUUGGCCUAAUAAGCUGAGCUCAUGACGGUACCGUAAGAAUAAGCACCGGCUAACUACGUGCCAGCAGCCGCCGUAA
rnacentral:rRNA from 1 species